CUUGGCCUUACAAAGUGCUGGGAUGACAGGCAUGAGCCACCGUGCCCGGCCGGUCCUGCUUUCUAGAAAAAACUGUAGUGCGCGCUCCAGAGACGUAACCCGUUCCCACACCUGAGUGGGCAACUCUAGCCUUUGAACACAGCCCUAGGAAAUGACUGCAAAUGAGGGGGAAGCUUUUUAAAUACAAGGAAAAAGGCAUUUGUACCAAGCUACAUCGCAGUGAAAUUAUCAUUGGAAAACAGUGGAAAGAGGCUGUGUGUCCCCCCACGGGUCAGGCGCAGUCCCAGGGAGGUCUAGACCCCAAGAGCAGAGAGGCCUACGGGAGGCACGGCUUGUGCCAGGAGGUGGGGUAUGCGGCCACCAGGCACUCUAGUUACACAGCGAUGGGCUGAAGGCUGUGCAUCCCGCAGGGAGUGAGCCCUCCGACCCUGGAGGAGUUCAAGCAGCUGCUUGUCAGGAUGCAGCGACAGGAGGGACACCGUUGCAGCCGAUGCCCGAGACAGCCAGAGGCUGCCGGCAUCCAGCAGCAGAGAGGCUGGGCCUGGAAUGGACCCCCAGAAGCUGGCCAGAGGCCUGGCAGUUGGGAAAGGCUCGGUCGUCCUGGGGAGGGAGCAGCACCAGCGGAGGCCCCGCCUGGGUCUUCAUCAGAGACACUCCAAGCUGGUGGGGGAUUCCUGGGACAGUGUCACCCCCGGCAGGCCCCAGGUGCCCACCGCCCACCCGGCCACAGUGGGAGCAGCUCGGGUCAGGGAGGCCGGGCUGAAUGCAAACCACUGCUGAGGAGACAAACGCGGCGCCACGAGCAGACCCGCAGCCUCUAGAACCUGCAGAGAAUGCUGGAGCUGCCCAGGGUGUGAUUCUUGUUACGUCUCCCCGAGCUGGCUGAGACAUACAGCUCCACUCCACCGGCCUGUGCCCAGAGACCCCGGGGUACAGGAGGAGGACGCCGCAGAGAGAACAAAAUUAAAGAAGAUUUCCCAGAGAUUUGUCAUCUGGCGGAGCAGGACCAGGGACAGGCUGAUGUGGUGGAGGUGGUGGACACGCUCUCAGCCCCACUCCAUCCCGGAGGCUCAGAGCCCACAGCAAGGACAACUCCUGGGUGAGCGGGUGCCAGGCAAGCAGCCCACACGCCGGGAGUCCCCAGGCUCCGAGAUGUGCCCCUUCCCUCAGCACACAGAUGAGGAAUCUGAAGCUCCAGGAGGCCAGGUCAUUUCCUCCCUGAGCCCCAGCAGCCAGCGGGUCUGCAACGUGGCCUCGAACCCAGACACCCCCGUGGGGGCUCACAGCUGUCCGAGGGCUGGCCACUCUCCCAGGAGCUGUGGCCGCGUCGUCCGGGGACCCAGCCCCAGGACAAGGUGGAGACAGCCCAGGGGGUCAGCGCUCACAAACCCCCCCACCCCGAGAAGAUCCAGUGCCCGAGGCUGGAAUAACCUCAGCCCCACCCACUACCCUCACCCCACUCACCAGCCUCACCCCCA
rnacentral:lncRNA from 1 species